rnacentral:rRNA from 1 species
UACGUAGGGAGCAAGCGUUGUUCGGAUUUACUGGGCGUACAGGGCGCGUAGGCGGCGCGGUAAGUCACUUGUGAAAUCUCUGAGCUUAACUCAGAACGGCCAAGUGAUACUGCAGUGCUAGAGUGCAGAAGGGGCAAUCGGAAUUCUUGGUGUAGCGGUGAAAUGCGUAGAUAUCGAGAGGAACACCAGUGGCGAAGGCGGCGACCUGGGCAGAUACUGACGCUGAGGUGCGAAAGCGUGGGGAGCAAACAGG